AUUGAACGCUGGCGGCAGGCUUAACACAUGCAAGUCGAGCGGGGGAAGGUAGCUUGCUACUGGACCUAGCGGCGGACGGGUGAGUAAUGCUUAGGAAUCUGCCUAUUAGUGGGGGACAACAUCUCGAAAGCGAUGCUAAUACCGCAUACGUCCUACAGGAGAAAGCAGGGGAUCUUCGGACCUUGCGCUAAUAGAUGAGCCUAAGCCGGAUUAGCUAGUUGGUGGGGUAAAGGCCUACCAAGGCGACGAUCUGUAGCGGGUCUGAGAGGAUGAUCCGCCACACUGAGACUGAGACACGGCCCAGACUCCUACGGGAGGCAGCAGUGGGGAAUAUUGGACAAUGGGGGGAACCCUGAUCCAGCCAUGCCGCGUGUGUGAAGAAGGCCUUAUGGUUGUAAAGCACUUUAAGCGAGGAGGAGGCUACUCUAGUUAAUACCUAGGGAUAGUGGACGUUACUCGCAGAAUAAGCACCGGCUAACUCUGUGCCAGCCGCCGCCGUAA
rnacentral:rRNA from 1 species